AGUGAACGCUGGCGGUAGGCCUAACACAUGCAAGUCGAACGGCAGCACAGUAAGAGCUUGCUCUUACGGGUGGCGAGUGGCGGACGGGUGAGGAAUACAUCGGAAUCUACUUUUUCGUGGGGGAUAACGUAGGGAAACUUACGCUAAUACCGCAUACGACCUACGGGUGAAAGCAGGGGAUCUUCGGACCUUGCGCGAUUGAAUGAGCCGAUGUCGGAUUAGCUAGUUGGCGGGGUAAGGGCCCACCAAGGCGACGACCCGUAGCUGGUCUGAGAGGAUGAUCAGCCACACUGGAACUGAGACACGGUCCAGACUCCUACGGGAGGCAGCAGUGGGGAAUAUUGGACAAUGGGCGCAAGCCUGAUCCAGCCAUACCGCGUGGGUGAAGAAGGCCUUCGGGUUGUAAAGCCCUUUUGUUGGGAAAGAAAAGCAGCAGGUUAAUACCCCGCUGUUCUGACGGUACCCAAAGAAUAAGCACCGGCUAACUUCGUG
rnacentral:rRNA from 1 species